rnacentral:rRNA from 1 species
AUUGAACGCUGGCGGCAGGCCUAACACAUGCAAGUCGAGCGAGCGGCGGACGGGUGAGUAAUGUAUGGGGACUGCCCGAUAGAGGGGGAUAACUACUGGAAACGGUGGCUAAUACCGCAUACUAUCGGAUAACCCAUAUGGGAUUGGCUAGUAGGUGGGGAAAAGGCUCACCUGGGCGACGAUCUCUAGCUGGUCUGAGAGGAUGAUCAGCCACACUGGGACUGAGAAACGGCCCAGACUCCUACGGAGGCAGCGGUGGGAAAUAUUGGAUAAGGGGCGCAAGCCGGAUGCAGCCAUGCCGCGUGUAUGAAGAGGGCCUUAGGGUUGGAAAGUACUUUCAGCGGGGAGGCGGUACCCGCAGAAGAAGCACCGGCUAACUCCGUGCCAGCAGCCGCGGUAAUUC